rnacentral:Y_RNA from 1 species
GGCUGGUCCGAUGGUAGUGGGUUAUCAGAACUUAUUGACAUUAGUGUCACUAAAGUUGGUAUACAACCCCCCACUGCUAAAUUUGACUGGCUUUAA